CGGGUCCUAUGCAACGCGGGGUGGUGAAUCCCGCCAGGGCCGGAAGGCAGCAACGGUAACCGGAACCUGCGUGUGCCGUAGGGUGCCUGGC
rnacentral:SRP_RNA from 1 species